UGGGGAAUAUUGGACAAUGGGGGGAACCCUGAUCCAGCCAUGCCGCGUGUGUGAAGAAGGCCUUAUGGUUGUAAAGCACUUUAAGCGAGGAGGAGGGUACUGGUAUUAAUACUACCAGGUACUGGACGUUACUCGCAGAAUAAGCACCGGCUAACUCUGUGCCAGCAGCCGCGGUAAUACAGAGGGUGCGAGCGUUAAUCGGAUUUACUGGGCGUAAAGCGUGCGUAGGCGGCUAAUUGAGUCGGAUGUGAAAUCCCCGAGCUUAACUUGGGAAUUGCAUUCGAUACUGGUUAGCUAGAGUGUGGGAGAUGAUGGUAGAAUUCCAGGUGUAGCGGUGAAAUGCGUAGAGAUCUGGAGGAAUACCGAUGGCGAAGGCAGCCAUCUGGCCUAACACUGACGCUGAGGUACGAAAGCAUGGGGAGCAAACAGG
rnacentral:rRNA from 1 species